rnacentral:rRNA from 1 species
CAGCCGCCGCGGUAAUACGAAGGGGGCUAGCGUUGUUCGGAAUUACUGGGCGUAAAGCGCACGUAGGCGGAUAUUUAAGUCAGGGGUGAAAUCCCAGAGCUCAACUCUGGAACUGCCUUUGAUACUGGGUAUCUUGAGUAUGGAAAAGGUGAGUGGAAUUCUGAGUGUAGAGGUGAAAUUCGUAGAUAUUCGGAGGAACACCAGUGGCGAAGGCGGCUCACUGGUCCAUUACUGACGCUGAGGUGCGAAAGCGUGGGGAGCAAACAGGAUUAGAUACCCGGGUAGUCCCUGUCUCUUAUAU